GAACCGCUGAACCCGUCUAAACCCGUUGGAACCGCUUGAACCGAAACCGUCUAAACCCGUUGGAACCGUCUAAGCCCGUGAAGCCCGUUUAACCGGGAAAAAAACGAGCCGUUGCCAACGUUCACCUGCAACUUUCACCUGCAGGCUGCAACUCUGCAACAAGGCUGCUGUACUGCUGUCUCUGAGCUUACUGGCACGGGCAAACAAACGGCUACAAUGCCGUUGGAGACACCGAAGGAGCCGUUGGAGGCUUCCUUAUAAAUACCGUCCCAGGCUCCCAGCUCAGUCACCUCACUGUCUCUGUCUUACUCCAUCUCAUUCUAAAUUCCACUCUCUCAAGCUUAUAAAUACUCUUACUUCAAGUCUGAAUUCAAGCAAGCUGCUCAAGUUUUUCCGGCCUCAAUUCAAGCUUUUCCGGCGUGGUUUUAAUAUUUUCAGUUAAUAUUUUCUGUUGUUAAUUAUGGAAGGUCGAGGUACAAUAUCCUCUCAAGAUUCCACUCAAAGUCCGACCAUGGCGCCGCCCCGACGACCUCCACUCGCACCCGGUCAGGCAACCGGCAAUGACGGCGGCGAAGGUAUGGAUGUAAUGAUGUAUGCUUGAUUUUAUUUUCAAUAAAAUUAUACUUUAAUUAUGUUUUUUUUCAAAUUAAAAUUUUACUUUAAUUCGUAUUUAUUUUAUUUAUAUUACAGUUUUUAAAUAAACUGUUAGUUUUUAAUUUAUAAACUGUUAAUUCGUAUUUAUUUUAAGUAUAUUACAGUUUUUAAUUUAUUUUACUUUAAUUCGUAUUCGUAUUUAUUUUAAGUAUAUUACAGUUUUUAAUUUAUUUUACUUUAAUUCGUAUUCGUAUUUAUUUUAAGUAUAUUACAGUUUCUAAUUAAUGUUCAUUUUUUGUCAUUUAGGUGGCAGUGGGGGUGC
rnacentral:lncRNA from 1 species